AUGAUGGACGUGAGGGGCUUGAGAUUGGGUUAUUUCUUGGUCCUAUGCCUCGUGCCUUUCUUGCGCCAUGCCGUGGCUAUUCGCUUUGUGAUGGACAGGGAAGAGUGCUUCUCUCACAAUGUUGAUUAUGAAGGGGAUACAGUUCAUGUAUCAUUUGUUGUGAUCAAGGCAGACACUCCAUGGCACUAUAGCGAGGAUGGUGUCGAUCUCGUGGUGAAAGACCCUAAUGGCAAUCAGGUCCAUGAUUCUCGUGCCAAGGUUAGUGAUAAGUUCGAAUUCAUAGUUCAGAAGAGAGGUGUCCACCGUUUCUGCUUCACCAACAAGUCCCCGUAUCAUGAAACUGUGGACUUUGAUGUGCAUGUUGGUCAUUUUUCAUAUUUUGACCAGCAUGCCAAAGAUGAGCAUUUUGGUCCUUUGUUUGAACAAAUAAGAAAGUUGGAUGAUGAUCUGUACAACGUUCUGUUUGAACAGCACUGGCUAACUGCCCAAACAGACCGCCAAGCAAUAUUAAAUGAGAACAUGAGCACGAGGGCAAUUCACAAGGCACUCCUCGAAUCAGCUGCCCUUAUUGCAGCCAGUGCUGUGCAGGUCUACUUGCUGCGACGCCUCUUCGAGCGUAAGCUCGGUACAUCUAGGGUCUAA
rnacentral:rRNA from 1 species